CAGAAUUGGCUUCCUAAGUAUACUGGGAAAGAUAGAAUGGUUAUAGCUAUUGGUACGGCUGCUUUGUUAUGGUCGAUUUGGAAAGCAAGAAAUAAAUCCUGCUUUCAGAGUUCUUUACCUAGGGAUCCUACUGAUAUUAUCGUCUCUUUAUGUUAUGUGUUGGAUUCCUGGGGUGUGCUACAGAAAAGAGGGGUGGAAAAAACUCUUAAGGAAGUGACCAAGAGGUUGGCCCAGAUAGCGAGGGACGUCUUCAAGCGUGCUUACGGGUGGGGCCCAGCUGUACGGAGGCUCUGUUGA
rnacentral:rRNA from 1 species